rnacentral:rRNA from 1 species
UCCUACGGGAGGCAGCAGUGGGGAAUAUUGCACAAUGGGCGAAAGCCUGAUGCAGCGACGCCGCGUGAGGGAUGAAGGCCUUCGGGUUGUAAACCUCUUUCAGCAGGGAAGAAGCAGCCAGGUUUUCUUGGUUGUGACGGUACCUGCAGAAGAAGCACCGGCUAACUACGUGCCAGCAGCCGCGGUAAUACGUAGGGUGCAAGCGUUGUCCGGGAUUAUUGGGCGUAAAGAGCUUGUAGGCGGUUUGUCGCGUCUGCUGUGAAAUUUCGGGGCUCAACCCCGAACUUGCAGUGGGUACGGGCAGACUAGAGUGUGGUAGGGGAGACUGGAAUUCCUGGUGUAGCGGUGAAAUGCGCAGAUAUCAGGAGGAACACCGAUGGCGAAGGCAGGUCUCUGGGCCACUACUGACGCUGAGAAGCGAAAGCAUGGGGAGCGAACAGGAUUAGAUACCCUGGUAGUCCAUGCCGUAAACGUUGGGAACUAGGUGUGGGCCUCAUUCCACGAGGUCCGUGCCGCAGCUAACGCAUUAAGUUCCCCGCCUGGGGAGUACGGCCGCAAGGCUAAAACUCAAAUGAAUUGACA